rnacentral:rRNA from 1 species
AGUGAACGCUGGCGGUAGGCCUAACACAUGCAAGUCGAACGGCAGCACAGUAAGAGCUUGCUCUUACGGGUGGCGAGUGGCGGACGGGUGAGGAAUACAUCGGAAUCUACUUUUUCGUGGGGGAUAACGUAGGGAAACUUACGCUAAUACCGCAUACGACCUACGGGUGAAAGCAGGGGAUCUUCGGACCUUGCGCGAUUGAAUGAGCCGAUGUCGGAUUAGCUAGUUGGCGGGGUAAAGGCCCACCAAGGCGACGAUCCGUAGCUGGUCUGAGAGGAUGACCAGCCACCCUGAAACUGGAACACGGUCCGACCUCCUACGGAAGGCGGCGGUGGGAAUAAUUGACAAAGGGGGGCAGGCCUGAUCCAGCCUACCGGGGUGGGUGAGGAGGGCCUUCGGUUUGUAAACCCCUUUUGUGGGAAAAAAAAAGCGGCGGGUUAAACCCCGGCUGUUUGAACGGAACCAAAGAAAUAGCCACCGCCUAACUUGGU